rnacentral:rRNA from 1 species
GUCGAGCGGACAGAAGGGAGCUUGCUCCCGGAUGUUAGCGGCGGACGGGUGAGUAACACGUGGGUAACCUGCCUGUAAGACUGGGAUAACUCCGGGAAACCGGAGCUAAUACCGGAUAGUUCCUUGAACCGCAUGGUUCAAGGAUGAAAGACGGUUUCGGCUGUCACUUACAGAUGGACCCGCGGCGCAUUAGCUAGUUGGUGGGGUAAUGGCUCACCAAGGCGACGAUGCGUAGCCGACCUGAGAGGGUGAUCGGCCACACUGGGACUGAGACACGGCCCAGACUCCUACGGGAGGCAGCAGUAGGGAAUCUUCCGCAAUGGACGAAAGUCUGACGGAGCAACGCCGCGUGAGUGAUGAAGGUUUUCGGAUCGUAAAGCUCUGUUGUUAGGGAAGAACAAGUGCGAGAGUAACUGCUCGCACCUUGACGGUACCUAACCAGAAAGCCACGGCUAACUACGUGCCAGCAGCCGCGGUAAUACGUAGGUGGCAAGCGUUGUCCGGAAUUAUUGGGCGUAAAGGGCUCGCAGGCGGUUUCUUAAGUCUGAUGUGAAAGCCCCCGGCUCAACCGGGGAGGGUCAUUGGAAACUGGGAAACUUGAGUGCAGAAGAGGAGAGUGGAAUUCCACGUGUAGCGGUGAAAUGCGUAGAGAUGUGGAGGAACACCAGUGGCGAAGGCGACUCUCUGGUCUGUAACUGACGCUGAGGAGCGAAAGCGUGG